AUGGUAGAUAACUCCCCAGUUAGCAAGGGGACUUUUUUUCCUUACAGUGGCUCUUCACAGGCCUAUCGGCUGUCAGACAUGGUGACAGACCUGGGCUCCUACCAGGUGAUGCCAUCGCCGUUUUCAGAGGACGACCUGAGCGAGUCGUCCAGCCCUCGCUCCUGUUCCAGCCCGGAUUCCCAGGUGCUCAGCUCCAGCUAUGGCAGUAACUCUAGUGCUGAGAGCCAGGACAGCAUCCUGGAUCAACUGCUGUCCCAGACCUCUUUAGGGAGUGCCAACGGUGUGCCAACAGGGUCUGUGGCACCUAUACCAUUAUCCACUUUCCUCUGGGACUCACGGAGAGAUGAGCCCUCGAAACGUGAGCCUGUAAAGGUGGAAAAUUUUGACUUCCUCACCUGGUCCAAUGUGGAGACAGAGGAACAACUUGGAGGGUCUUUCCAGCCCACACUGGAAGAGAUAGAAGAAUUCCUGGAGGAGAAUAUGGAAGUGGUAACAAUGAAGCAGGAGAUUCGAGAAAGUUGCCCGGGCAUGGGUAUGGGACUGGAGGAGGCUCUUGGUCUUGAAGUUGGCCUGGAGUGGUGCAGGGAGGCCUCCCCUGAGCCUAAGCUGGAGCACACUAAGUAUUCAGACCAAACAGUCCCCACUGCCAGCACUGCUGGCUUAGCCACUGCUGCCUCCAGUGAGACCAAAACCACAUCAGUUAACCCUACACAUGAAUCCAGCACAGGGGCCAAGAAGGCAUCAGGCAACAAACCUUCAUCAGCAGACAGUGGCACAAACGGUAAUGGGAUGCCGGUCAUCCUACAGAUUCAGCCCCUUCAGAUCAAGCAGGAGCCCACAGCAGCGCCUAUUACCCCAGUGGCCCAGCCCCCACAGCCUGCCUCAGCCUCAGACAUCAAAAUUGCACAGCUACUGGUCAACAUCCAAGGUCAGACCUUUGCCCUGGUGCCCCACAUCCUGCCCUCCCCUAACCUUAAUGUUUCCUCCAAGUUUGUACGCAUCGCUCCUGUCCCCAUUGCAGCCAAGCCUCUGGGCCUCGGGGAUAGCUCGGCCAGUCAGGGAUCAGGGAUUCUUGUUGGAGGUCAAAAGUUCCAGAAGAAUCCGGUGGCGGAUCUUAUCAAAAUGCACAAAUGCACUUUCCCUGGCUGCACCAAGAUGUACACCAAGAGUAGCCACCUGAAGGCCCAUCUGAGGAGGCACACGGGGGAAAAGCCUUUUGCCUGCAACUGGCAGGGCUGUGGAUGGAGGUUUUCCCGGUCGGACGAGCUGUCUCGACACCGGCGCUCCCACUCGGGUGUCAAGCCCUACCAGUGUCCAGUGUGUGAGAAGAAGUUUGCCCGCAGUGACCACCUGUCAAAACACAUCAAAGUCCACCGCUUUCCACGAAGCAGCCGGACAGUUCGCUCAGCAAACUGACUUCCUGCUCGGAUCAAUGGGAACGCUGGGGACGCUGAGAUCACUGUCAUACAGACUUAGGCCAUGGGAGCAAAGUGUGAGUGCGAACGUACAGAUUUGGCAGCUCCACCAGGCAGUCAUCAGGAUAUCCUUGUUGGAGAGCCAAGGGCUGAGCAUCUGUGGGCCAUUACGCAUAUGGCCACGUGGUUGUAUGUGUGUGUGAGAGUGUAUGUUAUUGUAAGACUUCCUCCUAACUACCGGUAAGACAGGUCCGAAACAAAGCUAGCAGUAUUCUCCAUAACUUGCUCUUACUACACCUUUUUAUAAAUGCACUUUGUGUUACAUUGUGAAAAUAUGUAAGAGGAAAUCAUGUAUAAUAAGUAUGUGUGAGGAAGUUUCCACAGCAGCGUAACUAACCUGCUGUGAACAUAACGCUCAAACUCAAGAUCAUCAAUCAAACAAUUCAUUACACUAUGAGUUAAGCAUUUAAACAUGCACAAACUAUUACUGCAUUUUGAUUUAUUAUCAUUACAGCGAACAAAUGAGGUUGGAACUAAACAGCCUUUUUAUAAUGUAGCACCAUAAAAUUGUGCCGGAUAGCUUUACACUGUGUAGUUGUCUGGGGUACUAUAGUAUCUAUAAUCAGUGUAUUACCUACAGUAUAGAUGGAGGUCAGCGUGUCCACAGUUUGGAGAAGCAGACAGGAGGAUCAGGAUCAUGGUUGAAAGAAAGAUCCAACUAGACCCAAUUUCUGUACAUUUAGGGCCUAUUAAUGUGCAGAAUCUAUGAAUACAGUAUGGGUGUGGUUUCAAAUCUUUCAAACAUUCUGAAGACGAAGAUCCAACAAUGACCAUUUGUAACGGUUUUGGAAGACCAUGACCAAUCCAUGCAUCCUAGGAAGGUCUAAUCAGAAAAAACUUAUGCGGGUCAUUUAGGCAAUUACAAACAACAUGUUUUGUCAUUUAGUUUGGAGCUGCAAACAAUUGCCCUCAAGCAGGAAACAAAGAUGCAACCAUUCAAUUCCCACUUAAGUGACAGCCUUUCUAACCACAAGGGAUCUGGCUAAAUCCAGGAAUUUUAACCUCUAAACCACACUGGAUGGCUGACCUGCACAAUGAGACAUUCGGUUAAACCAGUUACAAAAUAUUUGAGCGUUAACAAGAGUUUCAACAUUUCUUUUUAAUAACUGUGUACUCUUAGGCAGUUCUUGAAGUCUGAGUCUGUGCUUUUUCAUUUGGUUUAUAACCACAAAGAUUGUUUUUAUUCCUAAAAGUUCUCUGUGUUAACUACUUUGUUAGUUCUUCUUAGUUUAUGUCUUUUAACCUCACUUUCUCUCACUUUAACUUUCUCCUCUUUUCUCUUUUCCCACACUACUCCUACGCAGAUAUGCAACCUCUACUCUUUAGCAAUUGUCUGGAUCCACGGAGACGUCUGCAGUGUCUAUUUUCACUCUUAUUCUCUGUCUUGCUGUGUUCAGAGGCUGCCAGUGGAGGCCAUAUUCUCUCCUCCUGAAACCACACAGGAAGAGGAGAUUUCAACAGUAUACCGCUGUAAAUAGGACCUUGCUCAGACUAGCUGGGACCAGAAGUCAGCUGAGGUUUUUUCAUCACAUUGUGCACCGAUGAGCUGAUGCCAAGAGGUUUUUCCGUUGGGUACACAUACCUGGUCGGCUAAAACCAUAUAAAUUCAGUGUUGAGUUAUGUACUUUUUCCACCAAUAGACAUUCAUAUGAAUUAAUAUAGGAGGAUUUAGUAAAUAUAAGCAAAGGGAUACAAAUAUAACUAAUUUACGAUGCUGGCAAAAACUUUACACCUCAUUAUUAUUUUCUUUAUGUGUCCAAAUAAUAAUAAUCUGUGGUUGAAAACUCACUGAAACCAGUUUUUUUCAUGACAUGCAGCUAUAUAUUUUAUGGUACUUUUAUGAUUUAACUUUUUUAUGCAACCAGAACAAUGGGAUUUGCAUUUGUAUUUCUCACAGUCACACAACAUCACACCCUCAGUUUACAACUCUGCUAUCUAACGGUUGGGGGUUCAAAAAGUGUGUUAGUUGUGUUUUUAAGAAUCGACACAAUAUCCUAUUAUUACGUAUAAUUGUAUUUUUUCUUACACCACUAUUCAUAUCCAAACUGGCUGAGUAGAUUGCAAUAAUUAAAAUUGUGAAAUAGUGAAAUAUGAUCAAAUGGACAUACCAAAAGGAAUGACAGAUUGUCUUUCGUUGGUUCAAUAACCAAAAUAAACUAGGCUACUGUUUUAUAACACAUUAAAAUGGAUGACAGUGACUAGAAAUGAUGAUCAAAUGAACAACAUGUUGACGAUAGGCAGCCAUUACAGGUGGGUGUGAAAUAAAAGGGAAAAACCAACAUAAAGUCCAACUCAAGCUUCCAGAACAGCUUCAGUGCUCCUUGGAAUCGAUUCUCAGAGCCGGAAGAAGAACAUCACCAUUCAAAAAAUAUUCCCUCAUUCAAUGUUUUGUUGAUGAUGGUAUGGAUUUUGAGUCCAACCAUGUUACUAUACAAUAGUGUCAGGUCAAGUGAAAAGUUUGGAGAGGGUUUGUGUGUUUUGGUGCUCGGUUUUUGGACUAUUUAUGUGUUUAUUGGCUACUGAUUUUGGAUUACGGACAUCGGACUAUCUGCUGACACAUUUGGUCGACGCUGAUUUUCGGAACACGGACGGAAAGAACGGAGCUAGGCGGCUAGUUGACAAACUAGCUAGCGGGCGGCUAGGGUAACAGCAGACGCUACCUCGCGUUACCUAGCAACAUGGGUCUGAAGAAGGCUCUGACAGCCGAAGAGGGCGAUGACUGAGGAAAUUUCAGCUUUGAAACUGCAGCAGAAAUCCAUCCUGGACCUGGUGGAGGAAGUGAAGGCUCUUCGGAUCCAGAACGCCGAGAAGGACCGGCGUCUGGUGCACCUGGAGAGUGAAGUGGAGGAGCUGGAGCAGUACACCAGGGUCAAUAAUGUGAUUGUGACCAGGCUCUGUAUUAUUACCUUUAUUAUUAUUAUUACCUCUGAGUGGUCUUGAACGCAGCAUCCAGGCCAGCGUUUGUUUCACCGAAAUCCAGAGAUGGAGGGGAAAUU